rnacentral:rRNA from 1 species
GACGGUACCUAACCAGUAAGCCCCGGCUAAACUACGUGCCAGCAGCCGCGGUAAUACGUAGGUGGCAAGCGUUAUCCGGAAUUUAUUGGGCGUAAAGCGCGCGCAGGUGGUUUUUAAGUCUGAUGUGAAAAGCCCACGGCUCAACCGUGGAGGGUCAUUGGAAACUGGGAGACUUGAGUGCAGAAGAGGAAAGUGGAAUUCCAUGUGUAGCGGUGAAAUGCGUAGAGGAUAAGGAGGAACACCAGUGGCGAAGGCGACUUUCUGGUCCGUAACUGACACUGAGGCGCGAAAGCGU